rnacentral:rRNA from 1 species
AACGUAGGAGACAAACGUUAUCCGGAGUUACUGGGCGUAAAGGGCGUGUAGGUGGUUUUGUAAGUCUGGCGUGAAAUUUUUCGGCUUAACCGGGAAAGGUCGUCGGAUACUGCAGGACUGGAGGACGGUAGAGGCGUGUGGAAUUCCGGGUGUAGUGGUGAAAUGCGUAGAGAUCCGGAGGAACACCAGUGGCGAAGGCGACACGCUGGGCCGUACCUGACACUGAUGCGCGACAGC